ACGCUCAUUUCACGCUCAAACAGCGCUUCUCGUCCGAUCACAGACGAUAAGCAUCGCCGAGACAGAUCAGUACCUAGAUGGGUGACUGCUUGGGAAUGUCAUGUGCUGUAAG